GUUUGUCAAUUAAACUUAAGAAUUCCCGUCCUAUAUUCGUGUUAACACUCUUACUAAAUGGUGGGUUGAACCAAAUUAUGUUGCGUUGCUUAUUCCUACGUGUCCGUUGAGAUGCAUCCUGAGUGUACGUAAAUUCGUAAUCGAAGUUACUAUGUCUAAGGGCGUCCUGGUAAAUAGGCGUAGAUUCCUUAAAUGUUUGUUCGUCCAAUGAGAGAAGUGCAAUGCGUUUGUUGAUAGCCGUAGGUAAUUGUCUUGGUGGAUGGUUUGAAUCUCUGUUGAUGUACAAUGGAUCGUCAUUGGGUUUCCUGUAUGGUUUGUGUUUCACGUCGGUUCAGGUCGAAAGUAACAUCUAAAAAAUUUACAAGGUUCAAAUUUACUUCGGCAGUGAUUUUCAGGUCAAAUUGCUCGAAAAUGUUGUGUAACUCUUUUCUAGUUUUGUCUAGUAAACGAGCGGAUUUGCUUUUUAUAAUAGUCAAACCGUCAUCUCAUAUAUAAAGGCCGAUGUUUU